GAUGAACGCUGGCGGCGUGCCUAAUACAUGCAAGUCGAGCGAACAGACGAGGAGCUUGCUCCUCUGACGUUAGCGGCGGACGGGUGAGUAACACGUGGAUAACCUACCUAUAAGACUGGGAUAACUUCGGGAAAUCGGAGCUAAUACCGGAUAAUAUAUUGAACCGCAUGGUUCAAUAGUGAAAGACGGUUUUGCUGUCACUUAUAGAUGGAUCCGCGCCGCAUUAGCUAGUUGGUAAGGUAACGGCUUACCAAGGCAACGAUGCGUAGCCGACCUGAGAGGGUGAUCAGCCACACUGGAACUGAGACACGGUCCAGACUCCUACGGGAGGCAGCAGUAGGGAAUCUUCCGCAAUGGGCGAAAGCCUGACGGAGCAACGCCGCGUGAGUGAUGAAGGUCUUCGGAUCGUAAAACUCUGUUAUUAGGAAAGAACAAAUGUGUAAGUAAAUAUGCACGUCUUGACGGUACCUAAUCAGAAAGCCACGGCUAACUACGUG
rnacentral:rRNA from 1 species